UCGAGAAUCUUCGUCAAUGGGCGAAAGCCUGAACGAGCGACGCCGCGUGUGGGAUGACGGCCUUUGGGUUGUAAACCACUGUCGAGGGGGAUGAAGGCCUGGUAGUCAUCUGCCAGGUUUGACAGAGCCCUGGAGGAAGCACGGGCUAAGUUCGUGCCAGCAGCCGCGGUAAUACGAACUGUGCGAACGUUAUUCGGAAUCACUGGGCUUACAGGGUGCGUAGGCGGCCCAACAAGUCAGGUGUGAAAGCCCUCGGCUCAACCGAGGAACUGCGCUUGAAACUGUUAGGCUCGAGUCAGCUAGAGGUGCACGGAACUUCCAGUGGAGCGGUGAAAUGUGUUGAUAUUGGAAGGAACACCGGAGGCGAAAGCGGUGCACUGGGGCUGGUCUGACGCUGAGGCACGAAAGCCAGGGGAGCGAACGG
rnacentral:rRNA from 1 species